rnacentral:rRNA from 1 species
UACGGGGGGGGUAAGCGUUGUUCGGAAUUACUGGGCGUAAAGGGCUCGUAGGCGGCCAACUAAGUCAUACGUGAAAUCCCUCAGCUUAACCGGGGAACUGCGUCUGAUACUGGAUGGCUUGAAUCCGGGAGAGGGAUGCGGAAUUCCAGGUGUAGCGGUGAAAUGCGUAGAUAUCUGGAGGAACACCGGUGGCGAAGGCGGCAUCCUGGACCGGCAUUGACGCUGAGGAGCGAAAGCCAGGGGAGCAAACGGG